ACGCACGCUGGCGGCGUGCCUAAUACAUGCAAGUUGAGCGAUGAAGAUUGGUGCUUGCACCAAUUUGAAGAGCAGCGAACGGGUGAGUAACGCGUGGGGAAUCUGCCUUUGAGCGGGGGACAACAUUUGGAAACGAAUGCUAAUACCGCAUAACAACUUUAAACAUAAGUUUUAAGUUUGAAAGAUGCAAUUGCAUCACUCAAAGAUGAUCCCGCGUUGUAUUAGCUAGUUGGUGAGGUAAAGGCUCACCAAGGCGAUGAUACAUAGCCGACCUGAGAGGGUGAUCGGCCACAUUGGGACUGAGACACGGCCCAAACUCCUACGGGAGGCAGCAGUAGGGAAUCUUCGGCAAUGGACGAAAGUCUGACCGAGCAACGCCGCGUGAGGGAAGAAGGGUUUCGGAUCGUAAAACUCUGUUGGUAGAGAAGAACGUUGGUGAGAGUGGAAAGCUCAUCAAGUGACGGUAACUACCCAGAAAGGGACGGCUAACUACGUG
rnacentral:rRNA from 1 species